GGGCACAACACAACCCUUGGCUGCUGUGUUCGCACACUCUGCACCUUGCUCCUGCCCACUCUGCUUGUCAGCUUUCCUCAGUCCUGAAAGAUCCUUAGUGCCUCUGAUUUCAUCAUCCCACCCUGCAGGAUGCUCCCAUUUGUCCUGAGGAAGGCUGUCCCAGAUGGAGAAGAGGAGAUGGAGGUGGAUAUAGAGAUUGAUAGAGAGGAGGACAUGGAGACGGAGGGAGAAGACACUGGGGAGGAGGAGAUGGAGGUGGAGGUGGAGGUGACGGUGGAAGAAGAGAUGGAUGUGGAUAUGGAAGAGUCCAUUGAGGACAUGGACAUUGAUUAAAAAGGCUGUCCCAGACAGAGAGGAUGAGAUGGAGGUAGAUACAAAGAUUGAUACGGAGGAGGAGAUGGAAAUAGACGGAGAAGACGCUUGAGAGGAAGAGAUGGAUGUGGAUGUGGAGGAGGAAGAAGAGAUGGACGUGUAUGUGGAUGAGGAAGAAGAGAUGGAUGUGGAUAUGGAAGAGUCCAUUGAGGACAUGGAUAUUGAUUAAAAAGGUGCGAUGGACAGCACAGACAGAGACACCAAGCUUUGUAUAUAUGUUCUACAGUUUGUUGUUGUUCUUUAGAAUGUAGAUUUUAGGGCUAUUUUUGAUUUCUGUAAAUACGUUUCACAUAUUUUUGUUAGGUAGGUUUUUAUGUAUAUAUGUUCUAUCGAUUGUUGU